AUUGAACGCUGGCGGCAGGCCUAACACAUGCAAGUCGAGCGGAUGAAUGGAGCUUGCUCCUGGAUUCAGCGGCGGACGGGGGAGGAAUGCCUAGGAAUCUGCCUGGUAGUGCGGGGUAACGUCCGGGAAAGGGCGCUAAUACCGCAUACGGCCUGAGGGAGAAAGUGGGGGAUCUUCGGACCUCCCGCUAUCAGAUGAGCCUAGGUCGGAUUAGCUAGUUGGUGGGGUAAAGACCUACCAAGGCGACGAUCCGUAACUGGUCGGAGAGGAUGAUCAGUCACACUGGAACUGAGACACGGUCCAGACUCCUACGGGAGGCAGCAGUGGGGAAUAUUGGACGAUGGGCGAAAGCCUGAUCCAGCCAUGCCGCGUGUGUGAAGAAGGUCUUCGGAUUGUAAAGCACUUUAAGUUGGGAGGAAGGGCAGUAAGUUAAUACCUUGCUGUUUUGACGUUACCAACAGAAUAAGCACCGGCUAACUUCGUG
rnacentral:rRNA from 1 species